UACGUAGGGGGCAAGCGUUGUCCGGAAUCAUUGGGCGUAAAGAGCGUGUAGGCGGCCAGGCAGGUCCGUUGUGAAAACUGGAGGCUUAACCUUCAGACGUCGACGGAAACCGCGCGGCUAGAGUCCGGAAGAGGAGAGUGGAAUUCCUGGUGUAGCGGUGAAAUGCGCAGAUAUCAGGAAGAACACCAAUGGCGAAGGCAGCUCUCUGGGACGGUACUGACGCUGAGACGCGAAAGCGUGGGGAGCGAACAGG
rnacentral:rRNA from 1 species